rfam:Chlorocebus sabaeus isolate 1994-021 chromosome 7, whole genome shotgun sequence.
GAAAAGGUUUUUUUCAAAACCAACAACUAAUUUACAGAAAAAAAAAU